rnacentral:rRNA from 1 species
AUGACAAAUACUGUACAACAAAGUAACGCUAUGGAAAGCCCCACAGACCAGUCCAAUUGGCCGUCGCACGCACGCCGACGUCGUACAGAAGCAGAUAUAGAAAGUGGUGGUCAAAAGAAGAAGGGGCGAGGUGUCCUCAAAGGAAUCAAGGUCGCCAAGAAGCGAUUCGCCAAUGGUUCCUCAAAGCUUCACAUUGAAUUUUCCAAAACAUUGGGAGGUUCUAUCGGAGAGAACUAUCGUAUGUUUGUGGACGACGUGGUGGUUUACAUGAAAAGGAAGGCACCAUUCAUUGGUGUGAACAAGUGGUCUGCCAUUGAUUCUUCUGUGAAGGAUUCAAUCGUUGCUGAUUUUAUUGCUAAGUGGGAUUUGGAGGACACAUAUUCUACGAAGGGAAAAAUACUA